UUUUAAUUCUAUGGACCUUUUUUUAUUUUUUCUUAUGGAUGUAUCUAUAAAUAUGGAGUACAAAGUAGUGAAGAAAAUAGUUCUACUGCAGGUUGCAAUGAAGCUUCUUUCAGAUAGGGAAAAAUUCAUGCAAGUGCUUUGUUGCGGAGGGGAAUUUGGACCUUAAAUGAAAAAAUUUUGUACCGAUUUCUCGUCAGUGCUUGAGGAGAAUCAUAAAUUCCUAGUACAAAUUUUAAUUACUUAAUUACUAUACUAAUUGUAUAUUGUAAUAAUCCAGAAGUUUGUGUUAAGCUGACCAAGUUUAUUUUUAUUCCUAUUAGCAUAAUGCUGAUGAAUUUUUAUAGUAGAAUGUGAAUGAAAACGGUGAAUCAAUCUAUUCUGAUCUUUGUGCAGGAUGCUUAUCUCCCUCAACAGCUUUUAGAUAAAUUGAUGUUCAUUUAUAAUUAUGUGGAUAUGGCUCGAGUAACAGGUGUCCCAAUUUUUUUCUGCUUGCUAGGGGCCAAAGCAUUAAGGUACUUUCUCAACUUUUAAGGUGACUCCUGAAGAUGUUCGAAAACUUAAUCUCCCUCCAGAAUCAGUGAACAAAACUCCAUCUGGGGAAACAUUUGUUAAAUCAAAUUUGCAGAAGGCUAGUAUUGGAAUGGAUAACUUGAACGCUUAAUGCAUAAAGUGGAGCAGUUUUAGGUUGAUUAUGAUCUUUUACCAAGUAUUUAGGCUGAUGAGCAUCUCUAUUAGUGUAAUUUGAUAUAUUAUGAGCAGUUCUAACUUGUAUUGUUUCUGUAUUUUUCUUCGGUUUUUAGUUUUAGAAUUUGAACUCG